UGAGGGAAAAGAGAAUGAUAGAUUAUGUAAAUGGGUAAUUGUAUAAUGUGGUCAGCCUGACUAGAUAUCCUGGGAGAUGGUGGACGGACUGGGUCCGUAGGGAACCCUACCGGGAUUGUGGUCUCCCAUACUGGACGGGGUAUAGAGAUCUUAUGUGUUUUGGCGCCCAUACCGGACGGGGUAUGGGGACGGCCCGUUUCACCCUCAUAC
rnacentral:lncRNA from 1 species